GGCUUAUUCAGAGUUAAUUAGCAGAAGACAGUCUUGCAUGGUCUGACUCAAUCAGGUGAAACCCCUUAAACAGGGGACUUAUUCAGGUUAAAGCUUUAAAAGAAUUCAGAGACUCUUACAGGUUUAAUUAACAAAGAGGCCAUGCUAGAGAAGUUCAUCUGAUGAUGAAUUGUGAACAGCCUCUAGGACGCCAGGGCUGCCUGCAGCUGACAGGCAGCAAAAGUCAGGGUUCUAGUAACACAGCUGCAUGGAAACAAAUUUGCCAAAACCUUAAGAAGUUUGCAAGUGGAUUUUUCCCCAGACAAGCCUCCAAGUGGGAGUACAGUCUCAACAAAAGUCAUUUGCAGCCUUGGGGGAUGCUGAGCAGAAGACCCAGCUAAGCUGUGCCUGGAUGCCUGACCCACAGAAACUGUAUCAUUGCUGAACCUCUGUGCUGAGUGAGUGCCCAGUCACACAGGACUUGAUUCUCAUGAGCCAGGAUUCGUAUAAAGAAAUUGACUUUGAUAUGAAGUCACCACUUCCAGGAAUAUCGCUUUCAAGUCUAUUCAGAUUCCUUUUGGCUUUUCUGUGCAGCAUUCCAGAAUUCCUUCCUCUGAGAGCGGGACAGGAUCCUCUCUAGAAUGUUGAUCUUAUGACCUACAGUCAAACAAGACGGCCCUUAUCAGAUGUAGACCCUCAGUCUUGGACUUCUCAGCCUCCAGAAUUAUGAGCCAAAUAAAUUUAUUUUCAUUAUAAAUUACUCAGUCUGUGGUAUUUUUUUACAGCAGUACACAAUAGAUUAAGACAAUGGAAUACUGUAUAUGCCCCGAAAGUUGUUUUUCCUAUUUUCUCUUUCAGGAAAUGUAAAUAAUUGCAUAUGCUCUAUUAAAUGUCAAAUGACUAUGUCCCAUAUUUGUUUAUAGAAAAUAUUUUUAACCCAUCACUCUGAGCAAAACUUACAAAGUGCUGAAAUAUUUUGAAGUGAAAUGGAAACUUACUUUCAUAUUAUGGCAUCUUGACAAUUUGUUAGUUCCAAAUUCUAGCAAACAUUUUUUUCCUUCUAAGAUUGAGAUGUUCUAUUAGCAACACUUCAGGAAGGGAGAACCUGUGACUUUCCUCUAUUUUGUUGGUAAUUAUAAGCAGGAGGCAGUCACAGCUCAACUACGUGUUGUAGGUGUGUGCUUGGUUUGGGAAGGAGGUUUACUUUGAGGAGAAAAACUAACCUAUUAUCUAUGGAGUAAGAAAAUGCCAGCCAGCGCAAAUCUAAAAGUUUUUCAAUUAAGCCAAGUAAUUAGAUUUUGGAAUGUAGCCAGUGAACUUCCACUAAACAAUCUAAAUUGUGAAACUCAAUGCCACUUCCAAAAAGGUUGUGUAAGAAUUAUAAAUAAAAGUGAAACGGAAUAGAAAAUGUCCAACGCAUGCACUUAUGACAAAUGUGCUCCAGGACCGAAAACAGAAAAAUAUGCUUUCCAAGUUUCUCACAGCAUAAUGUGUCCUAAUGAAUUUUACAUGGGAAUUAAAUGUAUGAAAGCAGUACACUGAAUGAGCAUAGUUUUCAUAAACAUAACCAAGCCUCUCUAAAAUGGAAUUCUCUUUACCCACUAUAAUAUUGCAUACCACUGUAUGACAGAAUGUAGACUCCACAAAAUGAAUGCCAUUGUCUUUUUGAAUAGUAUGUUUGCAGUCAUAAAAAUAAAAUCAGUCUUUUUAUUAGGUUAGGUUACAAAUCAAAAUUGAAAAAUUAUCAGUAAGAAAUAGUAUUUUUAAUAGGGGUUAAAUACAAACUUUGAUGUGCUUUUCAGAUAGUCUAAUUUAACUCUCAUUACAUCUCUAAGAAGUAAAAUACUGAACAUGUUAUAUUUAAAUCACGAAUUAAAAUAAGAGCUAUUUUAAAAAAAUCUUUUCUAAAACUUAACUUUGGAAUCAUCUCACGCUGCUUGUUCUUUCAUUUUUACCUGCACUCUUUUAUAUCUUUUUGCAUUUACUUUUUGUCUUGUUUUAGAAGAGAACAUAAGAAUGUCAAAGUGGUGUGUAUAUAUUUAAUCGACCUCCUGCUGCAAAUACCUAACAUUGUGGAGCUUUAUGCUAUGAAAUAGAAUAUUGACAAUGAUGAAAACUAUUAGACAAAAUAAAACCAUAUGUAUUUUUAUAGCCCAGAAAUCUCUGUCAUGAUGGAAUAUAAGUGCUGCCUACGCAUUUAUGAGGACAUAUGAGACCAUUAAAAUGAAAACAUCUCUUAAUCAUGAAAGACAGCUCUUCAAAUACCCCAUGCUUAUGAAUAAUGGAUUGUUAGAGGUUACAAACAAUGUCUAGUGUUCCCUAACCCGCUUCCCACAGACACAUAAUCAUCUGGAAGACGCCCUAUUAUUUUUCUGAGUAUCUCUCAGGAACAGGAAAGAUGGUUCAGAGCCAGAAGUACAUAGAGUGACAAUGUAAGAUGGUACCUUAUGCUUACACAGAGUUUUAGUCAAGAUAUGGGAAGUUAGAGGAAUUAGAUGAUAUGUAUUUUUUUUUUACAAUGCUGUGAAACAUGCCUUUGCACUCUGAAGUGCAAAAAUGAAAAAUAGAAUAGAAAAAGUAUAAAAGCUUGAAACAUAGCUAUUGUAAAUAUAAUAGCAAAAUGUUUUAUUUUUCUUGAUAAAAAGACAAUGAGAAUCUGCCACGGAGCUCCGAAACAAAGUUGAUUUUGCAUGAUGUAUAUACGCAAGAUUGACAACUCAGAGUUCUAUAUGAGCUAAAGAAAUAGAGGGGAAAAAAGGCUAUUCAUUCCUCGCAAGUUACUCUGCCUACCCUUUUUAUCUGAUCUCCAUUUGAAGACAGAUAGUUAUAAGAGUAUGAAACUUCUCUAUAGAGAACUCUCAAGUGAACUCACUAUGUCCUGAAAAUAGCUGAAUGUUCUAGUAUCUCAUCACUAACCCUGGAUUCUUUGGUUCCCAACUGUCCAUCGAUUUAUUAUUACUGAGAACUAAUGUAUUAUUAUUGAGAAUCAGGAUGCCUUCUCCCACAACAAUACUACAAAUCUCUGGCCUUUGUUACUUAUGAACUGCAAGGUCUGGAAGCCAAGAAGUUCAUGGCAAGUCCCAGGUCAGGACCAUAGACUGUGGACCACAUCUAUCAGUAAGAAGAGUCUUAGUACAGAAUUACCUCCUUUGUUCAGCAGGAAAGGAUGGCAAAUUGGAGGAAUUCACAUUCAGCAGCCGAGUUUGUUCUGACACUGUGAGCCUCUACUUUUUCUAAAAAGUCGAAAAAAUUUUGACACCACUUGGAGUCAAAAUACCUAUGCUUACAUAUCAACAAUAGGACUCACUGCUUGUGUAACUUGGGGAUCUCAAUGGUAAGUACUGCUCCUAAAAUGAGGAAGUUAGUUCAGUGAGAUCUAAUUCAGGUAUUAGAUUAUUGGUGAGAAUUUAUUUUAUUUUAUUUUAUUUUUGAAACGGAGUUUCGCUCUUGUCGCCCAGGCUGGAGUGCAAUGGCAGAAUCUCAGCUCACUGCAACCUCCACCUCCCUGUUCAAGUGAUUCUCCUGCCUUAGCCUUCUGAGUAGCUGGGGAUUAUAGGCAUGUGCCACCACACCUGGCUACUUUUUGUAUUGUCAGUAGAGACAAGGUUUUGCCAUGUUGGCCAGGAUGGUCUCAAACUCCAGAUUGCAACAAUUUUCUCCCAUUCUGUAGGUUGCCUGUUCACU
rnacentral:lncRNA from 1 species